GACGAACGCUGGCGGCGUGCCUAAUACAUGCAAGUAGAACGCUGAAGCGAGGAGCUUACUCUUCUUGGAUGAGUUGCGAACGGGUGAGUAACGCGUAGGUAACCUGCCUUGUAGCGGGGGAUAACUAUUGGAAACGAUAGCUAAUACCGCAUAACAAUGGAUGACACAUGUCAUUUAUUCGAAAGGGGCAAUUGCUCCACUACAAGAUGGACCUGCGUUGUAUUAGCUAGUAGGUGAGGUAAUGGCUCACCUAGGCGACGAUACAUAGCCGACCUGAGAGGGUGAUCGGCCACACUGGGACUGAGACACGGCCCAGACUCCUACGGGAGGCAGCAGUAGGGAAUCUUCGGCAAUGGGGGCAACCCUGACCGAGCAACGCCGCGGGAGUGAAGAAGGGUUUCGGAUCGUAAAGCUCUGUUGUAAGUCAAGAACGGGUGUGAGAGUGGAAAGUUCACACUGUGACGGUAGCUUACCAGAAAGGGACGGCUAACUACGUG
rnacentral:rRNA from 1 species